ACUUGCUUUGUGGACCAGGCUGCCUCUGCCUCCCCAGUGCUGGGAUUAAAGGUGAGCCACCAACCUGGCUCUGCGCCCCUCUAACAAAUACAUGGCAACCUGGUCUUUCAUGAGUAGAACGCAGUUCAUACAUGACAGCCUAUGGAUACACUUCCAAUUUGGGGUGUGGCGUUGGAGGAGGCAAGGUCGCAGGUGGUCCCACAACUCUGAUCCUUCUGCCUCCACUUCCCCAGCUACUAGGAUCUCAGGCCUAUGUCACCACACCGGCUCAAUAAGGAGUGGGGGUGGGGGGCGGUGAGAACGGAGAAGAGGAAGAAGAGGAGAGGGUGGAGGAGAAGAAAUUAAGGUCUUAACUGAAAUGUAAAGAAAUACUGGAAAGUAAUGACAGUGUCCCUCUGUCUCAGACUUGUAUGUACUCGGGUUGACUUUUGUCACAUGCAUGCCUAAAAGUCACAUGGGGGCCGAUUGAUGCCGAUUCUGAAGUUAUCCGCCAGCGGAGGGAGCUGAGAGUACAUUUCCACUCGCAGCUGCCCAGCAGCUGCUCCGCUAGCUGGAGGCAGAGCCACUUCCCCCACCGACCUCGUCCCCCCACCUCCUCCUCAUCCCCCAGCCCCGCUGCAGCUGUGGGUGACCACGGCACUCAGUCCCCGGUAAGGCCCGCGGGCCAGAGCCGUCCCCUCCCACAGUGAGGGGCAGUGUCGCCCUGGGCCCGCCCUGCCGCGCCAGCCUCAUUCCCCGCACCUACAUGGCUGGGCACCAGCUGCAGACACAGCAGUUCCCACGGGAUUCGUGGGUCCUAGGAACGCACCGCAGGCAAGGGAGGGAGGCCCGGGCAUUGACGUCAGAGGGGCGGGGCCUCGGCGCCCCACCCAACCGCUCCCCUCCUGCCUGGUCCCAGCUUGGGUAGGUGAAUCCCGGUGGUGCUGGCGUGGAUUCCCUUGGCUCCCUUCUCCCGUCUCCCUUUCCUCGCUCAUCCUCUGCACUGUCUAGUCUUGGUCCCUGCAGCGGGGAGCCCGAGGAGACCCAGCUGUCACCCUCCUGAUCUCCCUGCAGGAAGGUGGCCUCGGAGAGCUAGUGCUGGUCCUGGGGAGGGACGCGGGCGUCCUGGGGAGGCUCUGAGCGCGUCAGAGUGAGGCGGGAGAAGAAUGAUCCCCGCCCUGAGCUCUGCUGGAGGAUGAAGCUUUCGCCCAUACAACAUCGCCAACUGUUGCUGUUCCCUGCCAGGAGAAUUGCUCUACAGUUUACAAAGUGCUUGCUUGCUUGUUUGUUUUCGAGACAGGGUUUCUCUGUAUAGCUUUGGCAAAGUGCUUGUGUUAAUUAUAAAAAUGUUUGAGGGGGCUGAAGUGAUGACUCAGUAGUUAAGAGAUCUUUCUGAGGACCUGAGUCCAGUUCCCAGCAUCCACAAUAAGGGGCUCACAAUCACCUCUAACUCCAGAUUCAAGGCAUCCAAGUCCUUCACAGGUAUCUGCACACACAUGCAAACACCCACACUCCCAACACAAAUACGUAUCAUCUGAAAAAAUAAAAUACAUCUUUGAAAUGUUUUAUUUAAAAUACUUUGUUUUUUAAAUUAUAUGUCUAAGCCAAGGGGUGGUGGCCACAUCUUUAAUCUCAGCUUGGGAGGCGGAGGCAGGUGGAUCUCUGAGUUCAAGACCAGCUUGGUCUGCAGAGUGAGUUCCAGGGCAGCCAGCGGUACACAAAGAAACCCUGUCUUGAAAAACCAAAUUAAGGGCUGGAGAGAAGGCUUAGAGGUUAAGAACACUGGCUACUCUUCCAGAGGUCCUGAGUUCAAUUCCCAGCACCACAUGGUGGUUCACAAUCAUCUAUAAUGAGAUCUAGUGCCCUCUUCUGGUGUGCAGAUAUACAUACAUGCAGGCAGAACACUAUACAUAAUAAAUAAAAAAAAGAUUCAUUAAAAAAAUAAUAAAAGUUAAUAAUAAUAAAUCUUUUUAAAAGAAAAUUAUGUGCAUGCAUGAUGGGUAAGCACUCUCCGUGGCUAGCGUGUGGAGGUCAGAGGAUGGCUGUGCCGUUCGGCUCCAUCUCUGUCUUUUCCAGCUGUGGAACUUGUGUCUUCGGGGCUGUGUAACAUAGCGCGCGCUUCGCCCAUUUUGCUGCCCCUCGGGCUUUCUUGCCCUCAUCACAUUUUGUCCUCACAGAUUUGCUGUAACUGUCAUUUGACAGACAACAAAGUUGAGGCAGACACACCGAGUAUCCGAGCCGGGAAGUGGCUCCGGGAUCGGAACCUCACAUGCUGGGCUCUACCAAGAUGUUUCCUGGGUGUCCUGCGCUUGCAGUUGGGGCUCUGAUGGCCCAAGGCGAUCUUUGGACGUCAGAGCUGGAGCACUGAGGGGAAGAGGUUGCUCUCGGGUCAGGCGGAGACUCGGAAGAAAGGACUGCCGACCCUUGCAAGACAAGGCAGAAAAGCUCUUUAGAAAAUCCUGCUUCACAGAUGAGUCUGUCAGAUAUGCUAGGCCUGUAGGCUGAAGAUAGGGUGCCCCAACGUUGCAGAGGAACUUUGGGUGACUGUCCAGGCAGCCAGAUGUCUCUGUCAUUCUAGAUUUUUGGAAGUUGCUUACAAUGCAUUUCCUGUUUACUCAGGUGAUAUUAUAUCCUUCUGGGGUCUUUGAUGUAGUUGAAGACUAGAUAGAAUAUUUUCUUUAACUUUGCCAAAUAUAAAUAGACUAGAUGUUAUAACUGUAAUUCCUGCUUGAUUACUGUUCUAUUGUAUGUAAUUUUAUUAUGUUAAAGUUAAAACCUUCCUUUUUGAUUAGACAGAAAAGGGGAAGUGCUGUGGGAUGUCUUUCUGUAUGCUGUGAAUAUGUGUUGCUCUGACUGGUUGAUGAAUAAAGCUGUAUUGACUUA